rnacentral:rRNA from 1 species
UACUCUAGCCCAAACCUCCUUGCCAAACCCUGAUCUCGUCAGACCUCAGACGCUAAGUAGGACUGGGCCUAGUUAGUAGUUGGAUGGGAGGCCAAUGGGAAUACCAGGAGCCAGAGUGG